rnacentral:rRNA from 1 species
UACGGAGGGUGCGAGCGUUGUCCGGAAUCACUGGGAGUAAAGGGCGCGUAGGCGGCCUGGUAAGUAGGGGGUGAAAUCCUGCGGCUUAACCGCAGGGCUGCCUUCUAAACUGUCAGGCUCGAGCACGGUAGAGGCAGAUGGAAUUCCCGGUGUAGCGGUGGAAUGCGUAGAGAUCGGGAAGAACAUCAGUGGCGAAGGCGGUCUGCUGGGCCGUUGCUGACGCUGAGGCGCGACAGCGUGGGGAGCAAACAGG